rnacentral:rRNA from 1 species
GACGAACGCUGGCGGCGUGCUUAACACAUGCAAGUCGAACGGAAAGGCCCUUCGGGGUACUCGAGUGGCGAACGGGUGAGUAACACGUGGGUGAUCUGCCCUGCACUUUGGGAUAAGCCUGGGAAACUGGGUCUAAUACCGAAUAGGACCACGCGCUUCAUGGUGUGUGGUGGAAAGCUUUUGCGGUGUGGGAUGGGCCCGCGGCCUAUCAGCUUGUUGGUGGGGUAAUGGCCUACCAAGGCGACGACGGGUAGCCGGCCUGAGAGGGUGACCGGCCACACUGGGACUGAGAUACGGCCCAAACUCCUACGGGAGGCAGCAGUGGGGAAUAUUGCACAAUGGGCGCAAGCCUGAUGCAGCGACGCCGCGUGAGGGAUGACGGCCUUCGGGUUGUAAACCUCUUUCACCAGGGACGAAGCGUAAGUGACGGUACCUGGAGAAGAAGCACCGGCCAACUACGUG